GACGAACGCUGGCGGCGUGCCUAAUACAUGCAAGUAGAACGCACAGUUUAUACCGUAGCUUGCUACACCAUAGACUGUGAGUUGCGAACGGGUGAGUAACGCGUAGGUAACCUGCCUGGUAGCGGGGGAUAACUAUUGGAAACGAUAGCUAAUACCGCAUAAUAUUAAUUAUUGCAUGAUAAUUAAUUGAAAGGUGCAAUUGCACCACUACCAGAUGGACCUGCGUUGUAUUAGCUAGUAGGUGAGGUAACGGCUCACCUAGGCGACGAUACAUAGCCGACCUGAGAGGGUGAUCGGCCAACCUGGGAAUGAGACACGGCCCAGACUCCUACGGGAGGCAGCAGUAGGGAAUCUUCGGAAAUGGACGAAAGUCUGACCGAGCAACGCCGCGUGAGUGAAGAAGGGUUUCGGAUCGUAAAGCUCUGUUGUAAGAGAAGAAAGGGUGUGAGAGUGGAAAGUUCACACUGUGACGGUAUCUUACCAGAAAGGGACGGCUAACUACGUG
rnacentral:rRNA from 1 species